GGAUAACUGCUCGAAAGGGUGGCUAAUACCGCAUGAGACCUGAGGGUGAAAGCGGGGGAUCGCAAGACCUCGCGCAAUUGGAGCGGCCGAUGCCCGAUUAGCUAGUUGGUGAGGUAAAGGCUCACCAAGGCGACGAUCGGUAGCUGGUCUGAGAGGACGACCAGCCACACUGGGACUGAGACACGGCCCAGACUCCCACGGGAGGCAGCAGUGGGGAAUUUUGGACAAUGGGGGCAACCCUGAUCCAGCCAUGCCGCGUGCAGGAUGAAGGCCUUCGGGUUGUAAACUGCUUUUGUCAGGGACGAAAAGGACCGUGUUAAUACCAUGGUCUGCUGACGGUACCUGAAGAAUAAGCACCGGCUAACUACGUGCCAGCAGCCGCGGUAAUACGUAGGGUGCAAGCGUUAAUCGGAAUUACUGGGCGUAAAGCGUGCGCAGGCGGUUCUGUAAGACAGAUGUGAAAUCCCCGGGCUCAACCUGGGAAUUGCAUUUGUGACUGCAGGACUAGAGUUCAUCAGAGGGGGGUGGAAUUCCAAGUGUAGCAGUGAAAUGCGUAGAUAUUUGGAAGAACACCAAUGGCGAAGGCAGCCCCCUGGGAUGCGACUGACGCUCAUGCACGAAAGCGUGGGGAGCAAACAGGAUUAGAUACCCUGGUAGUCCACGCCCUAAACGAUGUCUACUGGUUGUUGGGGUUUUUUAACUUCGGUAACGAAG
rnacentral:rRNA from 1 species